UCUGGGACAAGAGAACCGGCCAGCUAGUAUGAAUUUUAACGCGAUAGAUCUCGGACUGAAGAAUUUCCCGUCACUUCUCUCUACUGGAAAUCCUGCUGGUGUCGUGCUGCAUUUCAACAACUGGUCUACGUUCUCCAUUGGCGAAUCUUCCAAGACCUCGAGUGAUUCAUUGUCACCAAAAUCAGAGCCAACUUCAUUGGUCGGUGGUAGCCAAGAUGAUUCUCUCAUCCCAUCCAGUGUGGAAUCUUCCGUCACUCCGACAGAUGAGGAAACUGCUGAGCUUGAGAUAGUUGACGUCCCUGGAGAAAG
rnacentral:lncRNA from 1 species